rnacentral:lncRNA from 1 species
CUGCCUCCAUUGCCCUAACUUGUUUCUCUACUGCCGCCAUUGUCUUAAGCUGUUUUGCUACCUAUCUACUAGUGUUUUGUCGUUGUCCCGCUGCCAUUGUUCUGUUGUCGUCAUCUUGCUACCGCUUUUCUACCAUUAUUUUGCUGCUGUUUUGCCAUUAUCUUGCUGCCAUCGUUACUAUUGUCUUGCUGCCAUUUUGUCACCACAUUUCUUAGAUUUGCUCGUUCAACAAAACUUCAAAGAAGUAAGGUAUUUUUCACCUUCUCUUUUCCAUUUUUUCUUUUCUAAUUCUAAGGAAAAAUAUGAAAAAAAUGGAAGUUGAUUUUAC